rnacentral:RNase_P_RNA from 1 species
AGAACAGGUUGGGCGGUCGCUGCUGGCAUCUCAAAUCGUCAGUUUUCGGAUUCAUCUGAAAUACCAGACUUGAGUUACCCAGGAGAGGAAAGUCCGAACACUACAGGGCAGCGAGCCCGCUAACGGCGGGGCGUUCGAGCAAUCGGACGACGACAAGUGCAACAGAGAACAGACCAGCCACGCUCUUGAGAUUUCUUUUGAGAUCUCAAUAGAAUCGCGGAUUGAGAGAUUCGGGAUUCGAACGCGCGGUGAUGGGUGAAACGGUGCGGCCCUUCGGGGCUUAAAGUAAGAGCGCACCGGCGUAUGUGGUGACAUAUACGGCCAGGCAAACUCCUCGCAGUGCAAGAUCAAAUAGGGAGGCGUCACCAGGGCUGCCCGCCCGAAUCCCGAUACAUCGGGAUACGACCUCCGGGUAGAUCGCUUGAUCCAAUCUGGCAACAGUUGGACUAGAUGAAUGAUCGCCACUCCGGUCUCAGUUUUCAGAUCUCAGAUUUGGGAUCUCAAAUUUGAGAUUUGAAAUCUGAGAUCGGAGAACAGAAUUCGGCUUAUAGACCUGUUCUCUUU